rnacentral:rRNA from 1 species
GACGAACGCUGGCGGUGUGCUUAACACAUGCAAGUCGAACGGUAAGGCCCUUCGGGUACGACGAGUGGCGAACGGGUGGAGUAACACGUGGGUGAUCUGCCCUGCACUUCGGGAUAAGCUUGGGAAACUGGGUCUAAUACCGGAUAGGACCACGGUCUGCAUGGAUUGUGGUGGAAAGCUUUUGCGGUGUGGGAUGGGCCCGCGGCCUAUCAGCUUGUUGGUGGGGUGAUGGCCUACCAAGGCGACGACGGGUAGCCGGCCUGAGAGGGUGUCCGGCCACACUGGGACUGAGAUACGGCCCAGACUCCUACGGGAGGCAGCAGUGGGGAAUAUUGCACAAUGGGCGCAAGCCUGAUGCAGCGACGCCGCGUGAGGGAUGACGGCCUU